GGGCUGCAGCUGCAGCACAUGGAAGUUCCCAGGCUAGGGGUCUAACCUGAGCUCCAGCUACCAGCCUACACCACAGCCACAGCCACACGGGAUCCAAGCUGCAUCUGCGACCUACACCACAGCUCACGGCAAUGCUGGAUCCUUAACCCACUGAGGGUUCUUUUAUGGAGCCCAGGCUGGUGAUUGGGAGCCAGCCUGUCUUGGAAGAGCCCUGUGUGGGGCCCAGAGGCGGAAGGGUGUGGAGCGGGCCCCGGAGCCCCGGGAUGCCUGCUGGGCUUUUUGAGCUGCACAGAUUGGUGCUCCUGAGGGGCUUUGGUUUUCUUCCCUUUGACUGUGGCCGUCCUGACCUCGGGGUCGGAGGUGACCCCCCCGAGGAGUGGCAUUCCUGAGUUCCCCGUGGGAGUGGGGCAGCUGCAUGAGGAGGCCAUUGACCCACGUGGAUGAUGCGUCUUGGGUUUGGGCCGUGGGGCACCAGCCUGCUGCAGGCUCUUGAGGGGUCUUCAGCGACCCUGGCUGGGACGGGAGGAGUGGGCCUAGGAGGUGGCGUUGAAGGCGUAGGCCCAGCUGGUGGCGGCCCGGCUCCUCGGCGACCAGCAGAGGUGGUUGACCUGCAAGUUUCUAACCUGAUGCUCUGACGUUCUGUUCUGCUGCAGUGAAGUUGGGAGUAUGCGGCUUUUUCUGUCAGGCAGUUUUGGUGACGUCGGCCUUUCUGGUGGCCGAAUCCUGGCCUUGGAGUCGGGAGAAGCCCUUGCUGAGGGGGAGGCGGCCCAGGUGGGUCUGGACCUGAGCACGGCGCUCUCUGCCCGCCUGCCUGGGUGCGGGGCUGUGGGGGCAAGAGGCCUAAGCGGUGGCAUCCGGGACAGGGCCCGCUCUCCCAGGGGAGUGUUCUGGUUUUCCAGCGAAGCAGGCAGGACUCUCAGCCCUUAGCUUAUGUCGCAGAGGGCCAGUGCUGAGUGACAGCCAGGGUGAUGCGGCCUCCCUGUUUGCAUCCGGGGAAAGCCAGGCCUGCUCGGACAGGGUCUAUCCUGUUUCUGUGGGGCAAGCCCCGAAGCUGAGCGGUGCCUCUGUGGCUGGGGCCCCGCAGGUGAAGCUGCUGCUUUUCCUUGUGCAUUGAACUUCCCAGGGUGGACUCUGCUGGCGAGCAGAGGGGCUCAGGGUGGGGGUGCCUGGCUUCCCUGAAGGGCGGGAGGCUAGAUGUCCACAUUCCCGGAACUGCAAAGGCGAAAAAGGUGCCAGGGCCUGUGCCAGGAGCUGCAGGUGAGUUCCGGGAGGUUGUGCCCACAGCCGAGCCCCACCCUGUCCUCACGUGGCCACUGUGACUCAGGCGCACCUGUGCCAAAUGGCCCUUUAUUCUGGAAGCCCAAGGAGACAGCCCUGUGCUCUGUCCACCCAGCCCUUCAGCUCGGCUGGGGUUAACCUGUCACUCCUUUGCUGCUCCCACCUUUGUGGUUCCUGCGGAGGGCUCCCCCCGCCCGUCCCUCUCUAGGAAUCACUGACAUUCCCCCCAGAAUCAGAGUUUCUCUAGAUUUGGGGCUGGUCCGCUCGUUCCAGAAGGAUACUUUGUUUUUCCUUUUGCUGCUUCGACCUUCGACCUUCGCUUUUAGUCUUCUUUGAAGAAAUUCACCUUUUGCAGCUGAAGUUGGAAAUGUCUGUAAAGCGUGGACAGCUGCCAGCAUUCGAGGCACAGCAGAGUCAUGUGCGGAGCUUGGAAGGUCUUGGCUCUUCCCCUGUUCAGUUUGGUGGGUGUUGGGUGGGCUCUUCGCAAGAGCUAGACUGGCUCUUCGAAAAAAUGUUCCCGCUGAUGCAGAAGUGAGAACCUGUUUUUUUUUUUCUUUUGGCCACACCGUAGCAUGCAGAAGUUCCUGAGCCAGGGGUCGAACCCUCACUACAGCAGUGACAACGCCAGGUCCUUAAUGGCCAGGCCACCAGGAAACUCCAAAACUCCAUUUAAAGUGAGGACCUUCGGAUCCAAAACCUUUGAACUUUUCUGAUCCGAUAACCACACUGAAGGGGACUGUGGUAGUGACUUGAAGACAAACUAAUUUUUUUCCUUAACGCUUUCUCAGUUAAAAAAAAAAUACCUGCUCACUGUAGAAAAAUUGGGAAGUUUAAGACUUUUUAAAGUAUCAGGGAAAAAAAACCCGCCAAGAUUACACCCGUCAGAAUCAGCCACCGACAGCGUUAUUAGCAUCUCUAGUUUUUUUUUUUUUUUUUGGCCUUGCCCAGGGCUUGCAGAAGUUCCCGGGCCCAGGAUUGAACCGGCGCCAUAGCACCAACUCCUGUUAGUGUCUUUUUUUUCAUUGUUUUGUCUGUUUCUGAUUCACAUCACUGCUUUUCAGCAGGCAUUACUGGCCUAGAGUGGGACAUGGCUUUUCCAGGUCUGGAAUUGUCCCCGAUGCUUCUUUAGGAACCAGUACAUGCUGGCUGUGUACAAGGCCUGUGGGGCCGUGGACACACCUCAGGGCGAGGGAAACCCAUCUUCAAGAUCUCUUGUCACGUCACUCAGGUGACACCUCCCUGGGCUCCGUUACAGUUGUCACAGACAUCUGCUUGUGUGUUUUGGUUUAAGUGUUUUUUUGUUUUUUGUUUUUUUAAUUGAUUUCCUAUUUUGAGUGAGAUUAUGUAAUUUAGGGGGAUACAUGCAAACAGGAUCAGUUCAUUAAUUUUUCUUUUUGGCCGUGCUCUUGGCAUGCAAGAGUUCCUGGGUCAGGGAUCACGCCCAGCCACAACUGUAAACAGAGCCACAGCAGUGACAACUUGAAUCCUUAACCCAUUGAGCCAGGAGGGACACCGCAUUAAUUUUGGCUGUUAAAUGCAAAAGCUUUGGGAGUUCCCACUGUGGCUCAGUGGGUUAUGAACCUGACUAGUAUCCAUGAGGACAUGGGUUCAAUCCCUGGCCUUGCUCAGUGG
rnacentral:lncRNA from 1 species